UUAUCCUGUCGGGUUCGAACCCACUGGAAAUGCUGACAUGUCUUCUCCAUGUGAACAGUUCCCAAAAGAAGGAUAAAUCUCGAGGAACCUCUGAACAGACUAAAAGCUUCAUCGCUGAACUUAGGAAUGAAAUGUCACAGCUGUAGGAGAAUCUGCUUCACAUCCAACUGCCCGACCAGUGGAGCCAGGGGAACCAAAGGCGUUACUACGUUUCAACACAGAAAACAACUUGGAAAGAAGCUCAGACAUUCUGUGAAUCCAUGGGGGCCCACCUUGUUGUCAUUAACAAUGCUGAGGAGCAGGUGUUGGGACAGCAGUCAGCCGAAUGGCCAUGAAAGUUAUGAAGAAGUCUGUGUGGUGACUUCCUGCAGUGGGCAAUGGCAUGAUUGGCCGUGCGAUUCUAUUCAUACCUCAAUCUGUGAAAAAUCAGCAUAAUGUUGUUUUCCUUUUUGUUACAAUUGAUGGAAAGUAAAUCUGUUAAUAAAUAUUCAAUCCAUGUUGUUAUGGCCAAGAUGGGAGGCGUGUCACACAG